CGGCAACAGCUCAAAUUUGAAAUCUGGCUUCGGCCCGAGUUGUAAUUUGCAGAGGAUGCUUUUGGCGAGGUGCCUUCCGAGUUCCCUGGAACGGGACGCCAUAGAGGGUGAGAGCCCCGUCUGGUUGGAUACCGAGCCUCUGUAAAGCUCCUUCGAC
rnacentral:rRNA from 1 species